GUCAAUCACCCCUGCCUGAAGGCAGAGGCUUGUAAGGUGACUUACAACGAGGUGGGCACAAAAGUGCUUUGCAAGGGUUGAUUAGGGGGCAAAAAGGAAACUUUAUGCAGAAGUUAGUUGGAAGAGAUACAUACACACCAUGGGAUACUCCACUAGUCCCAUGCAACUGUG
rnacentral:sRNA from 32 species